CUACAAAUGAAUUGACGGGACCCGCACAAGCGGUGGAUGAUGUGGUUUAAUUCGAUGCAACGCGAAAACCUUACCCACCUUUGACAUGGCAGGAAUCCUAAAGAGAUUUGGGAGUGCUCGAAAGAGAACCUGCACACAGGUGCUGCAUGGCUGUCGUCAGCUCGUGUCGUGAGAUGUUGGGUUAAGUCCCGCAGCGAGCGCAACCCUUGCCAUUAGUUGCUACGAAAGGGCACUCUAAUGGGACUGCCGGUGACAAACCGGAGGAAGGUGGGGAUGACGUCAAGUCCUCAUGGCCCUUAUAGGUGGGGCUACACACGUCAUACAAUGGCCGGUACAGAGGGUAGCCAACCCGCGAGGGGGAGCCAAUCCCACAAAGCCGGUCGUAGUCCGGAUCGCAGUCUGCAACUCGACUGCGUGAAGUCGGAAUCGCUAGUAAUCGCGGAUCAGCAUGUCGCGGUGAAUACGUUCCCGGGUCUU
rnacentral:rRNA from 1 species